AAUUUUUGAUAAUGGGUGCAAGCCUGAUCCAGCCAUCCCGCACGAGUGAAGAAGGCAUUCGCGCUGUAUAUCUCUUUCUGUCGGCAUGAAAUCGCGCCGGCUACUACUCCUCGCGGAUGACGCUACUGUCAUAAUAAGCACCGGCCAAUUACUUGGUAGCAGCCGCGGUAAUACGUAGGGUGUGUGCGUUAAUCGGAAUUACUGGGCGUAAAGCGUGCGCAGACGGUUGAUUAAGACAGGCGUGAAAUCCCCGGGCUUACACUGGGAAAUGCGCUUGUGACUGGUCAGCUAGAGUACGGCAGAGGGGGGUGGAAUUCCACGUGUAGCAGUGAAAUGCGUAGAGAUGUGGAGGAACACCGAUGGCGAAGGCAGCCCCCUGGGCCGAUACUGACGCUCAUGCACGAAAGAGUGGGUAGCAAACAGG
rnacentral:rRNA from 1 species